rnacentral:rRNA from 1 species
UGGGGGAUAUUGCACAAUGGGCGAAAGCCUGAUGCAGCGACGCCGCGUGGGGGAUGAAGGCCUUCGGGUUGUAAACUUCUUUUGCUCUGAACAAGGCGCACCAUGGGGUGUGUUGAGUGUAGGGGUUGAUUAGCGCCGGCUAACUACGUGCCAGCAGCCGCGGUAAUACGUAGGGCGCGAGCGUUGUCCGGAAUUAUUGGGCGUAAAGGGCUUGUAGGUGGCUGGUUGCGUCUGUCGUGAAAGCUCAUGGCUUAACUGUGGGUUUGCGGUGGGUACGGGCUGGCUUGAGUGCAGUAGGGGAGGCUGGAAUUCCUGGUGUAGCGGUGGAAUGCUCAGAUAUCAGGAGGAAUACCGGUGGCGAAGGCGGGUCUCUGGGCUGUUACUGACACUGAGGAGCGAAAGCAUGGGGAGCGAACAGG